rnacentral:lncRNA from 1 species
UGAAAAUGACUUUGAAUGUAGUCUAUUACUGGCUUCUGAUUUCUCCAUUCAGGACAAGGUGUUUGGAAGGAUUUGGUGAGACAGCAAGUUCACAUUUUCUUUCUUUCUUCUUCUAAUUUUUUUGAUCAUUUGCAUCUAGAAAAGCUCAUUUUUAAGUGCUGGCUAUGACCCAGAACAUAUGUUAUAUUCCAGGAUGAGAGAACAAAAGCUUGGGGCUGUUCCCCCCUUCUUUUUUUUGUCGGGGGGAGGCUUAGUUCACAGAUGGCACCUUCCUCUCUUAGCUUUCACCAUCCAAGGAUAGUCCUUCUUGCCUCAUGGUUUUGUUGGCAAAUGGAUGGAACCAAAACCAACUGGAUUUCCUGUCCUAGCUCACUCUGACAUGUUACAUGCAACACACACUUGCUGGAAGCUAAGCCACUGAGGAGCUAUUUUUCCCCCAGAAGGGUUACCCUCUAUUUGGCCUGGCAAGGCUUGCCUUCAGCAAUGAGAAGACUUGCAGUCCCUUUGCAGCAUGUUGCAAUUUGAUUGUCAUGAUCCACAUAUCUGACAAGGGCAGGGAGCAGCAACCCCCUCAACAGAGCUGAAUGCAAUGGAAACUGAAUAAGCAUUCCCAUGGAAUAUUUCCACACUGCCCCUCUCUUUUCAUAAUAACAUGGCUCCUUGGGGUUGUCUCAGGUUUGCCAAAAAUGAAAUGUAUCAAAAUAGAAUUCAGCACAUUCACAUCUAUUCUCUUAGGACCAGCAACACCAGUCAAGAUGGAAAUUUGUCCAUUGGCUAAACAGUCCGAAUAGCUGCCGUUGGGCAGUGAUUGACUUUUGGCUAAGCUCAGCCGGAAUGAAGCUUGAGGUCAAUUAGCUUUUCCUUUCAGAGGAUGGUGUUGGGCAAAAUAAACGAGAGAAAGAAGGGAAAACUGUCAUGGAAUGAAUUCUCAGAUGUCAUCAUGUUUCCCAGAGACAUACAAUGAGAAAUAAAAGAAGGGUUCAAAGUUCACCAGGUUGUCACCUUGUGCUCAAGUCACGUUCCUUGUGGAAAAGGCAGAGGAGAGAGAAAGAGAGGGGACAUCUAGAAAGCUAAGUACAGGUGUAUCCCUGAAAACAUUCCAUCGAUGUGUCCUUGGAGGCAAAGCAGACUUUGUAGCAUGUUCAGGACUAUAAUUGGUUCCCCAUAUGGAUCUCAUUUAACAACCACUGAAGGAAGCAUUAGCUAUAUACCAAUCACUGUUAGUCAGCAGAGCUGCCUUCAGGAAUAAGAUAAAGGGCAAAAAGUAAUUCGAUUUAAAAAGUGCGGAGGGUAAGACGAGUUUUGAAGCAAGCAAACAGGGUGCCGUGGCAAAGAAUAAAGCAAUUGCAGAGACCCUGGUUUGGAGAGGAUGGUUAGAGAACAGCUUUGAAGAAGUGACUUUUCAGUAGGGACAGAGCCAGCAUGGGACAAGGUGGUGCUGGUGGGGUCACACUGAGGAAAAAAGGAUGAAUUUAGUGAGGUUGGCAGGAAUCAGACGUUGAGGGUUUUAUACGAAGGUGGUUGGAAUUCACCGUAAGUGCAGUAAGGGGAUUUCAUUGGGUAGGGAAACUCCUCUGUGGUUUCUGAGAUGGGUUCUUUGGCUGCUGUGAGAAGAAUCCAGUGGUAGAAAAGAAAACACAAGCAGAGAAUGCAGUUCUUUGUGGUCAUCCAGGAAAGAGUGGUGGCGACCCUAAGCGAUGGGGAGAUAAAAAGAAAAUAAUUGUUGAGAAACAUGGGGAUGUGGACUUGACGCUACGUGCUAACAACACAUGGCAGAUAAGUUCCUGACAUAUGUUAUGUCCAUCUUCAAAGUAACCCUACUGAUGAGGAAUUAUUUGAGUGUCAAUGUGCAAAUAUGUGUGUUGGGGCGAGGGUGCGGUUAUGUUUGUUAUUUAUUGAGCAACUAGCAGUUGCCAGGAAUCGUUAGCUUGUUUGAAUCUCACCAUCACUCAAAGUCAGAGGCAUUCCCUGCCCUUUUUGCAAAAUAAAGGUGUGGCUCAAGCAAGUUACCUAUUUCCCCUAAGACUUGACCCUAGGUCUCCUUGAUUGUUUUAUAAUGAACUAUUUUGAUGUGAACACCUCAGUGGCAUUCGGUGUAUUUCACAAUGUUAUGCAACUACCAUCCCUGCCUAGUUCCAAAAUGUUUCAUCAUCCCAGAUGAAAGCCCUGUACCCAUUAAGCCGAUAGUCCUCCUCCCUCCCCCACUGUCCCUGACAACCACUGAUCUGUUUUCUAUUUCUAGGGGUUUAUCUGUUCUGAAUAUAUCAUAUGAAUGGAGGCCUACAAUGUGUAAUAUUUUGAAUCUAGCUUCUUCCACUCAGCAUACUGUUUUUGAAUUCUUUGGGGGUAUCUACCUAGGAUGGGAACUGCUGAGUCAUAUGGUAAUUCCAUAACUGUACAUUUAACUUUGUGAGGAACUCCUUUUUUGCCUUUUAAAACUUUGGCUAGGAUGAUGAGUGAUCUGGGUAAACUGCCUGCUCUUAGAGUCCACAGAGUAGAGGGCAUAGAUAUAUUUCCUCUCAUCCAUACCCUUCCUGAUUCUCUAACACCAUAGUUCCACCAACCAUGUAGUCCAUUUCUGGCUCAUUCUGAUUGGUUUAAGGAUGUGCACUUUCCCAGGUCAAACCAAUACAAGUCCUUCUAUUUCUCUUUGCCCAGAGAAUAGAAAACAAACACUCCCAGGUUAUUAUGUUGGCUAGAUGAGAAUUUUGAUCUAUGGUUGUCUCUUGGCUACCAUAUGGCUAAAAGCCACAUAGCCCCAAUUACCUACACUUACUUCACACUAUGUUCUGGAGAAAUAGAUCAUGAAGAACACUCUCCAUUUAAUAGAAAGGCCUCUGAGUGUUUGCUCAGGUUCCACAGCUGGGAGAUGCUGAUGCUGGGCUUAGAGCUAAGUCUUUUGGAUCCCACAGCUCCAAAGAAGAGUGGUUGAUUGCUUGUCAUAUCAGAGAGUAGAAUUACAGCCAGUGACUUUGGGAAAAACAAACUCGUUUCCCUAAAAUGAGGAACUUUCAAUUGUCUAGGAAUAAAAUGACCUGCCCUCUCCAACAGCAAUUCUAUUGGGUACAGACAAACUGAUCAAAAAGUGGGGAGAAAGUUUAAGUUCAGAGAGCAGAAAUCCAACAGUGUAAAUUCAUGCUGGCUUGCUUCAGUGAGCUGGAGGUCAGUUUCGACUCCAGGUGGCUCUCUCCUCUGUAUUUAGUGCCUUGACUGAUUUUCUCAAACAAGUUCUAGAAAGAACACAUCAGAAACCACUGGGAGAACCCAACUCCAUCGGUUGGUUUGGGAAAUAAAAGCAGCCAAGCUUUCCUUUCCUACAUUGACUGGGGGCUAAGUCAGCCGUGCAGUGCUUCAUUAUGGCCUUAAUGGGCCACCUCUUUCCUUAACAUAAUGAGCCAGUGCCCCCAGCCUAUAAGUCUGAAAGCCAGGCUGGGUGACCGUUGAAGCUGAUGUGUUAGACCAGAAAUGGGGUAUGGAUGCAGACCCUUUCUCAAUACACAUAAGAGUAAUUAUUAUAUCCUUUUUGCCCCCCCUCCCCCACACUGAGAUAAUGAGAUAUUGAGCCCCAGGAGAGCAGGUACUGUGUUUCUUUUUGCUUAUUGUACAAUUAUUUCUCAAGGGGCUCAUACAGUGACUGACACAUAAAGGAGAUGCCCAGUUAACAGUGGAAUGAGUAAGCCAAUGAAUGGAGGAGAAAAAGGAUGGUGAGAAAAGGGUGCUUCUUUUCAUUUUCUUUCCCUGUUUUCCGUUUCAUCUCAUGGCACUAAUAUUUUCAUAUAUCAAUAUCUGAAUAAUGAAGUCACCUACACAGAUAGGAAAAUGUAACCAGACCAUCUCCAUAUGCCCUUUACAGGGCAAGUUCCAACACAUCAUUAUCUUUAAGGUUAAUGUAAAGAAAGUUUAAAGUUUCAUUUCAUUUUUAAGGGAAUUUGGACCCAUCUCGGGGAUUCAUCAGUUUAGGAAGAAAAAAAAAGUAUCUCUGUGAAAUACUUUAGUGCCUUGCAGAAGAUUGCAAUGAAUUAUUGGGACAUUGCAAGGUUUAAGACAGAUGCUUUCUGAAGCAUGAAAAAAGUAUCUGCAGGUUUUUCUUUUUAUGUUUAAAUUACUUUGCUUCUUACUUGAGUACUUUUUCUGACCUUUUAGAGUGCUUCCUUCUUUAUAUUUCUCCUUGAGCUCCUUAACCAUUUUUUAAAAUAGUUUAGAUACAUCUCUCUUACGAGUUCUUCUUUCUUAGCCUUCCCCGUCCUUCCAGCUCGUCUUCUCCUCACUUGACCCCUCCAUAUAAAGCCUCACAAGAUUAUUAUACUCUUUGCCCCACUCCAUCCAUCUUCCUUCUCUCACAAUACCAUAGAUAAUGUGAAGCUAUGGAUCUAUAAAACACUCACUUUUCAUUUUCAAGUGAACAUGAAGUUAUGACCAAGGGGUUUGGUUUUGAAUCCAUCCCCCACCCCAGAAUGAAUGUAGGGGGAACCUUGGUCAAAUCCACUUAACCUCUUGCACAUUUCAUCUUGGGACUAUUGGUCUUCAUGUUGUCCUGCUUUGAGCUUUGAUGGAAUACAGUGAGCCAAUAAAGUGCAGAGGGAAAAGAGGACUCAGAAUCCUUGCUGGCCAAGAUCUGAAUCAAGUGUCCAUGAUUUGAAAGCUGUGUGGCCUUGGACAAAUGACUUAACCUCUCUGGUUUCCAUGUUCCCAAUCUGUGAAAUUUGGUGGCUAUUGCCUAUCUCAACGAGGCCCUGAGGAAUUUAAAUUAAAUGACAGCACCUAUUUAGAACUCCUACACAGCAGAUACUCAAGUUAAGAGAGCCACAAUGAUGAGUUAGGAUCUCAAUAAGCAAACAUUUAUCGAACUCUUUUGGUUAUAAUGGUGGGAGAAGGAAAGGAAAAGAAGCCCUUGAUUUCCCUCCAAAUAUGUGAACUGCAACCACUGUAGUUUUCCCAUUUUCUCUUCGGGAUGAAUAUUAUCUCCAGUUCUGACCAGUAGGAAGUUCAUUCACCCUUUUAUAAAAUAUGUACUGGGAAUCUACCAUUUGUUCACAAACAACAAUGAGCAAAAUUAGACACAGUCUUCUUCUUCCCAAGCUCAUCUAUGCUAAGUCCAUAGAAGGCGUGGUUCUCAACCAGGCAAAUUUGUCCCCAAGGGACACUGGUCAAUGUCAGG